rnacentral:piRNA from 1 species
UGGCGGUGACAACUGUGAUAGCCUACAC